ensembl:miRNA
AGAAGUGACUAGAAGACAAGAGUGUGAGCCUUCUGCUAUGCCCAGACAAGGCCACUAGAGGGCUCCUUGGUCUAGUGGUAACGUCA